rnacentral:lncRNA from 1 species
AUGACUGACUUGCAGUUAAUGCCGCGUCCCUGCGGUGGUGGUACACGCGGCAGUAUUACCCAUUCUGGUUGUCCACCUACCGUUCAUUGGACUUGUACUGAAAUGGUCAGCAGUUGGGGGUGCUCUAACGGUGCUCUGCUUGGUUUUUGCAGGCUGCUGAGUUGGGAGAAUUUACUGCCAAAAUUGCCCUGCUGGAGGAUGCCAAGAGGAAAAAGGAAGAGGAGGCAACAGAAUGGCAACAUAAACAGCAGGCUGGAUGAGUGGAACCUGCCAGGAUGCCACCAGGCCCCCCACCAGUGCUCUGCCCCUUUCUUCCCUGAGGUUCAUGAUGAGCUGACCAAGUCGUGGUGCGCCCCCUACUCGGCCCGCCUACGUACUUCCUCCUCUGGAGCUCUCACCUCAGUAGACGGCUCCUUGGAGGCAAGAGCCCCGUCUACUGUACAAGAUGCCUCUAUGCCCAGAAAUGUCAAUCUUUUGGUGCUCAGCACGAAACGUAGGUGGACUCAAAGGACCUCCCUUUGAGCCACUGCGGCUAUCUGACCUUUGGCCCCUAACACUCAAAACCGUUCUUCUGCUUGCUCUAGCAUCAGUCAAGCAUGUUGGUGACUUGCAGGCCCUCUCGGUGAGCCCUGCUUGCCUUGAGUUUGGGCCCAAUGAUUCGAAGGUCAUUUUAAAAACCCAGGCAUGGCAACGUCCCUAAAGUGCUCUCGAUGCCAUUCAGAGCACAGGUAAUUUCCCUCCCAGCUCUGCCUCCUUUGUCAGGUGAGCGAGAGCUGGAUUUACUCUGCCCAGUGAGGGCUUUGAGGAUAUACACUGAGCGGUCACAGCCAUUCAUGCAAUCUGACCAGCUUUUUGUCUGCUUUGGGGGCCGCACCAAGGGGUCUUCGCUCUCAAAGCAACGCCUCUCACGCUGGAUAGUCGAUGCUAUCGCUUUGUCACUCCUCCAUGGGCCUUGAGUGCCCCAUAGGAGUAAGAGCCCACUCCACAAGAGGGAUGGCUGGUCCUCGUCAUCCACUCUUGUCAGAUUCUUUAAACUGGACAUCCCGACCUUGCACGCUCUGGUUCUUUUGGUUUGAUACGACCACCUCUAUCAGACGCCAUCAUCAUGCCACCUCCAGGGAGCUAGCUCCCUCUUAAGCAGUGUAGGUUAAGGGAUCGACGGCUCCGACUCUCUUACUUAUCCCAUGGACCCCAAGGUGUUCAAGAUAAGUUUUUUGUCGUUCCCUACCAUGGCACGGUGCGGUUGAAUUCGUUCCCCAUACGCAGUAUUGAGUGAAUUAUCGAAAGGGAACGUACUCGGUUAUGAACAUAACCUUGGUUCCCUGAGAUACAGAACGAGUACUGCAUUAUAUGCUGUGCCACGAGGCUGCAGCUUCAGUGUUGUCACUUCAGUCGUAUGACCUGAUUUCCUAUGGCGAUUUGCCUGCUUAUAUAGCCAUUCGCCCAUUUUGGCGGGCUUUGGCACACUGCAUCGCCACCAAUGGCAGUGCAGUUGCACUGCGUUAUUGAAAAAAGUCUUCAGUAUCGAGGAAAAAAGGAGCUUUUUCCCAUACGCAGUACUCGUUCCGUAUCUCAGGGAACCGAGGUUAUGUUCAUAACAGAGUAUGAUUUUAUUACAUUCAGAAAUUAUAACGGCAGGCCUAAUAAUGUUAUAGAUGCCAACAGGAUAUUUUUAGGUCCCCUCACUUUACAACAAAUCCUUUACAUUUAACAAAUUAAUCAGAACAGAACAAUAAUUAAAAAUGUACAAUUCUAAUGGAUAAAUAUAAUUGCAGUAUAUGAUGCUUAGUUAUAAAAAUAAUAAUAAUAAUAAUAAUUUAAAGGAAACAUAAGGUAAGGUUGAGCUCUCUCAUUCUGGAGAAUCCAAACGUUUCCAUAUUUGUGAUGUUGCCCAUUUGAAAAUAGGCUUUGUAGAUCACGCGUGUUUCAGUAUUCGACGGAAAAAAAUCAUAAUGAACAAAAAUAUGCCAAAGUGGACCACUGCUCAUGUCACAUGUCACGGUGAACAGCUGCACUGUUUCUAAUGAAUAUAUGUGUAGGAGGCACCAGUGCGAUCAAACAGCUGAAACAGAAAAUACUAAAUUUUUGGUCACACAUAAGGCAUAAUUCAAAAAUGCUAACUGUUAGCAGUUCGAAAUAUCGAGAAUAAUAACAAAGUUAAUAAGAGUUAUUUCUAAAUGCUGGACCGUUCUCAUUUCGCUCUGCAUAUGGAACCUGAAGGCCCCCCCCCUUUUUUUUUUUUUUUUUUUUACCAAGAAUGGACCGAAAUGAGCCUAAGACUAUUCUAUGUUUUGAAAUGAACUCUCUGUAACAAUUUUAAUGGUUUUUAAGGAUGUUUCAAUGUUAUAAAUUAACAAAAUAAAAUGGGAUGUGGACAGUUAAGAUGAAUUUUGUGAACCUCAAAACUACUAAAGAUGGCCGUGGGAGAUGAUUGGCAGUGAAAUUUAUUUUUAAAAACAGUCCAGGUCCACCUGUUUUUAGAAAAGUAUAAAAAAAAAUCUGAAAAUUUACUUGGAUUGCCGGAUUUUAUCCAGGAUUCAGUCAUGAAGAAAACAUCCAGAUUGUUUGAAGGGAUAAGGUCGUUACAGAUUAAUGUUUUGUUUGCUAAGGAUUACGCAUGUUUGCAUCUAGGGUAGCCACCUUCAAUACAGAAAAAUAAGGGACGCCUGGGGGGGGGGGCACCCCUUGUGGCCACGAUGACCACGAUGACCACGAUGACCACAGGUCCAAUGACGUGCCAGUGGUGGUCAUUCACAACUUAAAACAUGUUUUCAUAAAAAAUAUUAACUGCUAAUGAACUUUAGUAAUUAAGGCGGCGUGAACACUGUUUUUGGAUAAAAUAUUUGUCAUUGUUUGCAGACAGUAACACCAUCCAAACAGUCAAACAACAUAAUAAAUAACCGAUCUACAAACAUUUCUAAAUUUUCACAUUUCACAUUUUUUUAUUAUUAUUUGCAAGUUUAUCAAUUUUAUAUAGUCUAUUGUUAAUUCUACAGUAGCCUAUUAAAUAAUGCAAUUAUUUGCUUAACUUGUUAUUUAUCGUAAUUCGUGUAGGUCAUAAAUUCAAAUCCUAAUAGUCUGUGGUUUGUUUCUCACACAUUUAGGACUUAGGUGACCCCCUCAGGUCAUCCUCAGGCAUUGUCCCCCCACUAUAUAGCCCAAUGACCCUCUCAGGU